rnacentral:rRNA from 1 species
CCUACGGGAGGCAGCAGUGAGGAAUAUUGGUCAAUGGACGAGAGUCUGAACCAGCCAAGUAGCGUGAAGGAUGACUGCCCUAUGGGUUGUAAACUUCUUUUAUAUGGGAAUAAAAUGUUCCACGUGUGGGAUUUUGUAUGUACCAUAUGAAUAAGGAUCGGCUAACUCCGUGCCAGCAGCCGCGGUAAUACGGAGGAUCCGAGCGUUAUCCGGAUUUAUUGGGUUUAAAGGGAGCGUAGGUGGAUUGUUAAGUCAGUUGUGAAAGUUUGCGGCUCAACCGUAAAAUUGCAGUUGAAACUGGCAGUCUUGAGUACAGUAGAGGUAGGCGGAAUUCGUGGUGUAGCGGUGAAAUGCUUAGAUAUCACGAAGAACUCCGAUGGCGAAGGCAGUUCACUGGACUGCAACUGACACUGAGGCUCGAAAGUGUGGGUAUCAAACAGGAUUAGAUACCCGUGUAGUC